UACAGAGGGGGCAAGCGUUGUUCGGAAUUACUGGGCGUAAAGGGCGCGUAGGCGGCCUGCUAAGUCGAACGUGAAAUCCCUGGGCUCAACCCAGGAACUGCGUCCGAUACUGGUUGGCUUGAAUCCGGGAGAGGGAUGUGGAAUUCCAGGUGUAGCGGUGAAAUGCGUAGAUAUCAGGAGGAACACCGGUGGCGAAGGCGGGUCUCUGGGCCGAUACUGACGCUGGAGGCGCGAAAGCGUGGGGAGCGAACAGG
rnacentral:rRNA from 1 species